rnacentral:rRNA from 1 species
GUGGGGAAUAUUGCACAAUGGGCGCAAGCCUGAUGCAGCAACGCCGCGUGAGGGAUGACGGCCUUCGGGUUGUAAACCUCUUUUAGCAGGGAAGAAGCGAAAGUGACGGUACCUGCAGAAAAAGCGCCGGCUAACUACGUGCCAGCAGCCGCGGUAAUACGUAGGGCGCAAGCGUUGUCCGGAAUUAUUGGGCGUAAAGAGCUCGUAGGCGGUCUGUCGCGUCUGCUGUGAAAUCCCGAGGCUCAACCUCGGGCUUGCAGUGGGUACGGGCAGACUAGAGUGCGGUAGGGGAGAAUGGAAUUCCUGGUGUAGCGGUGGAAUGCGCAGAUAUCAGGAGGAACACCGAUGGCGAAGGCAGUUCUCUGGGCCGUAACUGACGCUGAGGAGCGAAAGCGUGGGGAGCGAACAGG